rnacentral:rRNA from 1 species
GACGAACGCUGGCGGCGUGCUUAACACAUGCAAGUCGAACGGAAAGGCCCUGCUUUUGUGGGGUGCUCGAGUGGCGAACGGGUGAGUAACACGUGAGUAACCUGCCCUUGACUUUGGGAUAACUUCAGGAAACUGGGGCUAAUACCGGAUAGGAGCUCCUGCUGAAUGGUGGGGGUUGGAAAGUUUCGGCGGUUGGGGAUGGACUCGCGGCUUAUCAGCUUGUUGGUGGGGUAGUGGCUUACCAAGGCUUUGACGGGUAGCCGGCCUGAGAGGGUGACCGGCCACAUUGGGACUGAGAUACGGCCCAGACGUCGACGUGAGGCAGCAGUGGGGAAUAGUGCGAAAUGGGCGGAAGCCUGAUGCAGCAACGCCGCGUGCGGGAUGACGGCCUUCGGGUUGUAAACCGCUUUCGCCUCUUACGAAGCGUGAGUGACGGUAAUGGGUAAAGAAGCACCGGCUAACUACGUG